GAUGAACGCUGGCGGCGUGCCUAAUACAUGCAAGUCGAGCGAACAGACGAGGAGCUUGCUCCUCUGACGUUAGCGGCGGACGGGUGAGUAACACGUGGAUAACCUACCUAUAAGACUGGGAUAACUUCGGGAAACCGGAGCUAAUACCGGAUAAUAUAUCGAACCGCAUGCUUCAAUAGUGAAAGACGGUUUUGCUGUCACUUAUAGAUGGAUCCGCGCCGCAUUAGCUUGUUUGUAAGGUAACGGCUUACCAAGGCAACGAUGCGUAGCCGACCUGAGAGGGUGAUCGGCCACACUGGAACUGAGACACGGUCCAGACUCCUACGGGAGGCAGCAGUAGGGAAUCUUCCGCAAUGGGCGAAAGCCUGACGGAGCAACGCCGCGUGAGUGAUGAAGGUGUUCGGAUCGUAAAACUCUGUUAUUAGGGAAGAACAAAUGUGUAAGUAACUAUGCACGUCUUGACGGUACCUAAUCAGAAAGCCACGGCUAACUACGUG
rnacentral:rRNA from 1 species